UCCAGCGUGAGAAAGUGGAGGUGCAGCUGU
rnacentral:piRNA from 1 species